CCUACGGGAGGCAGCAGUGAGGAAUAUUGGUCAAUGGCCGGAAGGCUGAACCAGCCAAGCCGCGUGAAGGACGAAGGUGCUAAGCAUUGUAAACUUCUUUUGUCAAGGGACAAAAUCAGGCUCGAGAGCCUGACCGAGAGUACUUGAAGAAUAAGCAUCGGCUAACUCCGUGCCAGCAGCCGCGGUAAUACGGAGGAUCCGAGCGUUAUCCGGAUUUAUUGGGUUUAAAGGGAGCGUAGAUGGGUUGAUAAGUCAGAUGUGAAAGUUUGCGGCUCAACCGUAAAAUUGCAAUUGAUACUGGCAGUCUUGAGUACAGUUGAGGUAGGCGGAAUGCGUGGUGUAGCGGUGAAAUGCUUAGAGAUCACGAAGAACCCCGAUUGCGAAGGCAGCUUACUAAACUGUGACUGACAUUGAUGCUCGAAAGUGUGGGUAGCAAACAGGAUUAGAUACCCGGGUAGUC
rnacentral:rRNA from 1 species